UUCUACAGAUGAAAGUUUAGCUU
rnacentral:snRNA from 1 species